UUUUCUUUUUGAUGCUGCUUCUUGCAGUUUUCUUUUUUUCUUCUUUCUUGUUGUCUACCCUGGUGGGUUUACAGUAAUUUAUGCAAAAUUGGGCAAUGUUUCCUGCUGCUUUGUCCUUGAAAGAAGGGGGGUUAUUUACUGUAAGUAUCUGAGUCAUCCGAUCAUUUUAGUUAUUCGGGGGAUCUUAGUUAUUCAGUAAAAAAAAAAAAAAAAAAA
rnacentral:ribozyme from 12 species